rnacentral:rRNA from 1 species
GACGAACGCUGGCGGCGUGCUUAACACAUGCAAGUCGAACGGAAAGGCCCUGCUUUUGUGGGGUGCUCGAGUGGCGAACGGGUGAGUAACACGUGAGUAACCUGCCCUUUACUUUGUGAUAACUUCAGGAAACUGGGGCUAAUACCGGAUAGGAGCUCCUGCUGCAUGUUGUGGGUUGGAAAGUUUCGGCGGUUGGGGAUGGACUCGCGGCUUAUCAGCUUGUUGGUGGGGUAGUGGCUUACCAAGGCUUUGACGGGUAGCCGGCCUGAGAGGGUUACCGGCCACAUUGGGACUGAGAUACGGCCCAGACUCCUACGGGAGGCAGCAGUGGGGAAUAUUGCACAAUGGGCGGAAGCCUGAUGCAGAAACGCCGCGUGCGGGAUGACGGCCUUCGGGUUGUAAACCGCUUUCGCCUGUGACGAAGCGUGAGUGACGGUAAUGGGUAAAGAAGCACCGGCUAACUACGUG